rnacentral:misc_RNA from 1 species
UCCGGUUUAACACCGGCAGUCCCUUUAGAGUGCCCAACUAAAUGCUGGCAACUAAAGGCAAGGGUUGCGCUCGUUGCGGGACUUAACCCAACAUCUCACGACACGAGCUGACGACAGCCAUGCAGCACCUGUGAACCGGCCCUUGCGGGCGAGGACAUCUCUGCCACUCUUCCAGUCCAUGUCAAGCCUAGGUAAGGUUUUGCGCGUUGCAUCGAAUUAAUCCACAUAAUCCACCGCUUGUGCGGGUCCCCGUCAAUUCCUUUGAGUUUUAACCUUGCGGCCGUACUCCCCAGGCGGUCAACUUCACGCGUUAGCUUCGUUACCAAGGAAUUGCUUCCCCGACAACCAGUUGACAUAGUUUAGGGCGUGGACUAC